GAUGAACGCUGGCGGCGUGCCUAAUACAUGCAAGUCGAGCGAACGGACGAGAAGCUUGCUUUUCUGAUGUUAGCGGCGGACGGGUGAGUAACACGUGGAUAACCUACCUAUAAGACUGGGAUAACUUCGGGAAACCGGAGCUAAUACCGGAUAAUAUUUUGAACCGCAUGGUUCAAAAGUGAAAGACGGUCUUGCUGUCACUUAUAGAUGGAUCCGCGCUGCAUUAGCUAGUUGGUAAGGUAACGGCUUACCAAGGCACCGAUGGAUACCCGACCUGAGAGGGUGAAGGCCCCAAGGGGACGUGAGACACGGCCGAGCUCCCUAGGGGCGGAGGAAGUGGGGAUUCUUCCGGAAGGGGCGAAAGCCGGAGGGAGCAAGCCGGCGGGAUGGAUAAGGUUUUCCGGUUCGAAAACUUCUUUUAUUGGGGAAAAACAUAUUUGUAGGUAAUGGUGCACAUCUGGAGGGUCCCUAAUAAGAAAGCCACGGCAAACUACGUC
rnacentral:rRNA from 1 species